ensembl:lncRNA
AACAAAUUAACCCAAAACUUAGUGCCCUAAAAAAUCUUUUAAUGGUAUUUUGGAUAUUUAAUGGUUUGCCUGGAUUGUUUUGCUGCUUGGGACAUCACUCUGUGGCGCACCCACUGUUGAACAGACUUCUCUGGAGGGUGCAGGAACACUUAGCUCCCAUGUCUCGUGUCUCGGUGGAGGUGCACUCAGUGUUGACUGUUGACCAAGGUGUGUACACUUGGCAGCUUAUUUGUUCUUAUGGUGACUUCAGCAUGGUGGCCCCAGGCAGGUGCACUUAUAUAGCAUAAGGUUCCCCCCAGGUAUUAGGCAGAAAACUCCAGUAGGCAGUAUUAGGCAGACAAACAACCAGUAGGGUGUGUAUGUGUGUACUUUUUUUGUUUAAUAAGGGAUUGUUUCACAAUUGCUGGAGACCCACAAGUCUAAAAUCUGCAGUUAUAGGGUAGUGGCACGUGCGUGUAAUCCCAGCAUUUGGGAAACUGAGUAGGAGGAUUGGAAAUUCAAACUCAGCCUGGGCAACUUGACAGUUUAAGGAAACCCUGUCUCAAAAUAAAAAAUGAGGGCUGGGGAUUUAGCUCAGUGGUGCUGCUGCCUGCCUCGAAUGUGCAAGGUCCGGAGUUCGAUCCCCAGCACCAAAAAAAGAAAGGAUCAGCGAGUAGCUCAGUGCAAAGGCCCUGGGUUCAAUCCAGAAACUGUCUCCAAGUUGACUAAAAUUAACCAUUGUACCCUGUGAUAAGAACCUCAAACCAACCAGUUGGAAGCUUCAUGGACUUAAAAAAAAACCCCAAAAAACAGCUGGGGAUUGAACCCAGGGCCUUUAGAAAAAGCUGUUUCUGUAGGCCCUUUUAAAUUUUCUAUUUUAAGAGGUUCUCUCGAGUUGCCCAGGCUAGGCUCAAACUUGUGAUUCUCUGGUCUCAGCCUCCCAGAGUACUGGGUUUACAGGCAUGUGCCACCAUGCCUUGCUUGCAGCCUUCCUUUUAAACUGCUAGUCUAUAUUUGAUUUAACAAUUUGAUAAUAUGUAUUAUUAACUAUCUAUUAAGCAGGGAGUAGAGUUGAUAACCUCAUACCUUCUCUCCACUCCCCUCUGCCUCCAUUUUUAAAAAGUUUUGUGUUGCCCAGGCUGCCCUCGAACUAGAAUCCUCCUGCUUCAGUCACCUGAGUGCUAGGAUUACAGAGUCCCCGAGGAGCAUGUAAGAAGUUCUCUUGUUGAUUUGCAGUUGAUACAUGUUGCAGAUAAAAGUCAUUUGAUGUUUUUAAAAUGUAAUUUUUGGUUCGAUUAGAGAUAAGAAUGUAAAUUUAUAUUUUUUGAUAGCUAUAUUACAUUUUUGCCUAAAUUUGUUCAUAUUUCUCUUGGUAUUACUGACUGGUUUACUCUUUAACUUUGUAGAAAAAUAUUUUUAAAAUUAGAGCAAUAGUAGAAAUCAAGCUUGAAUGUUUUCCAUCUUUUCUCCUCUCCUACACUUCCUCUUCCUCCUCUAUUUUAGUUUUUAUCUCAACAGACCUGCCCUCUCCUAUAAAGAGCCCUUUUAGGAAUGAGAUAUCCCUUGUUAUGAGAUGGUAACCUUACUUUUCUGCCAAAUACUCCCUCAUUUUCUUUUCCCAAAUGGAGCCUAGACCAAGUUGAUCACCUUUAUAUUGUACCCUCUUCUCUUCUGCUUCAGAGAUUACUUUUAUUAGUGUUUGAACUUUAUGUACCUGGUAUCACAGAGCAUGUGCCCUUCUGUCCCUGGCUUUCCUCACUUCAUAUUAUAUUUAUAAGAUUGGUCCAUCUUGUUACACGAAAUUAUGGGUUAUGUAUUCUCAUUGCUGUAGCCUUCCAUUGUCUAACUACCCUAGUGUUUAACUGUAGAUUUAUAUUGGGUUGCUUCAGUUUUUGGACUACUUAGGUGAAUAGUACU